rnacentral:misc_RNA from 1 species
GAUGAAGAACGUAGCGAAAUGCGAUAAGUAAUGUGAAUUGCAGAAUUCAGUGAAUCAUCGAAUCUUUGAACGCACAUUGCGCCCCUUGGUAUUCCAUGGGGCAUGCCUGUUCGAGCGUCAUUUGUACCUUCAAGCUCUGCUUGGUGUUGGGUGAUUGUCUAUCUUUAUAGACUCGCCUUAAAGUCAUUGGCAGCCGGCAUAUUGGCCUGGGAGCGCAGCACAAGUCGCGCUUCUUGUCAUGAAUGUUGGCGUCCAGUAAGUCUACAUAUUUUGCUCUUGACCUCGGAUCAGGUAGGGAUACCCGCUGAACUUAAGCAUAUCAAUAAGCGGAGGA